rnacentral:rRNA from 1 species
UACGUAGGGGGCAAGCGUUGUCCGGAGUUACUGGGCGUAAAGGGCGUGCAGGCGGUUUGGCAAGUUUGGAGUGACAGUGCCUGGCUUAACCAGGCAAGGCCUUCAAAAACUGCGAGACUUGAGGACCAGAGAGGGACAUAGAAUUCCGGGUGGAGUGGUGAAAUGCGUAGAUAUCCGGAGGAAUACCGAAGGCGAAGGCAGUGUCCUGGCUGGUAACUGACGCUGAGGCGCGAAAGCUAGGGGAGCGAACAGG